rnacentral:rRNA from 1 species
UACGAAGGGUGCAAGCGUUACUCGGAAUUACUGGGCGUAAAGCGUGCGUAGGCGGUUCGUUAAGUCAGAUGUGAAAGCCCCGGGCUCAACCUGGGAAUUGCAUUUGAUACUGGCGAGCUAGAGUUCGAUAGAGGGUCGCGGAAUUCCCGGUGUAGCGGUGAAAUGCGUAGAGAUCGGGAGGAACAUCAGUGGCGAAGGCGGCGACCUGGAUCGGAACUGACGCUGAGGCACGAAAGCGUGGGGAGCAAACAGG